UUUUACGGAAGAGCAAAGAAAGUGGUUUCUUGAGUUGGAAUCUACUCCUGGUGAGGAUGCUUUGAA
rnacentral:pre_miRNA from 1 species